rnacentral:rRNA from 1 species
ACGCUGGCGGCAGGCCUAACACAUGCAAGUCGAGCGGUAGCACAGGAGAGCUUGCUCUCUGGGUGACGAGCGGCGGACGGGUGAGUAAUGUCUGGGAAACUGCCUGAUGGAGGGGGAUAACUACUGGAAACGGUAGCUAAUACCGCAUGACCUCGCAAGAGCAAAGUGGGGGACCUUCGGGCCUCACGCCAUCGGAUGUGCCCAGAUGGGAUUAGCUAGUAGGUGGGGUAAUGGCUCACCUAGGCGACGAUCCCUAGCUGGUCUGAGAGGAUGACCAGCCACACUGGAACUGAGACACGGUCCAGACUCCUACGGGAGGCAGCAGUGGGGAAUAUUGCACAAUGGGCGCAAGCCUGAUGCAGCCAUGCCGCGUGUGUGAAGAAGGCCUUAGGGUUGUAAAGCACUUUCAGCGAGGAGGAAGGCGUUGCAGUUAAUAGCUGCAGCGAUUGACGUUACUCGCAGAAGAAGCACCGGCUAACUCCGUGCCAGCAGCCGCGGUAAUACGGAGGGUGCAAGCGUUAAUCGGAAUUACUGGGCGUAAAGCGCACGCAGGCGGUUUUGUUAAGUCAGAUGUGAAAUCCCCGAGCUUAACUUGGGGACUGCAUUUUGAAACUGGGCAAG